AUGAUGCCACUAUGUUGAACUUCAACCCAAUAUGACAGGUGACCUUGUAAGAGAAAAUUUAGGCUGCAGCACCUGAGCAUGAGCUCUUGGAUAACUUGGGCCACUGGCCACUUAUGGGUGGCCCUUUUAAAAGUGAGCAACACAG
ensembl:snoRNA